rnacentral:rRNA from 1 species
UGGGGAAUAUUGCACAAUGGGCGAAAGCCUGAUGCAGCGACGCCGCGUGAGGGAUGACGGCCUUCGGGUUGUAAACCUCUUUCAGUAGGGACGAAGCGCAAGUGACGGUACCUGCAGAAGAAGCACCGGCUAACUACGUGCCAGCAGCCGCGGUAAUACGUAGGGUGCGAGCGUUGUCCGGAAUUACUGGGCGUAAAGAGCUCGUAGGCGGUUUGUCACGUCUUCUGUGAAAUCCUAGGGCUUAACCCUGGACGUGCAGGCGAUACGGGCUGACUUGAGUACUACAGGGGAGACUGGAAUUUCUGGUGUAGCGGUGGAAUGCACAGAUAUCAGGAAGAACACCGAUGGCGAAGGCAGGUCUCUGGGUAGUAACUGACGCUGAGGAGCGAAAGCAUGGGUAGCGAACAGG